rnacentral:rRNA from 1 species
AACGAACGCUGGCGGCGUGCUUAACACAUGCAAGUCGAACGCGAAAGUUUCUUUCGAGAAACGAGUAGAGUGGCGCACGGGUGAGUAACGCGUAAGUAAUCUACCCUGAUAUCUGGGAUAACAAUUCGAAAGGAUUGCUAAUACCGGAUACGCUGAUUUAUCAGGAAAGGUGGCCUCUUCAUGAAAGCUACUGUAUUAGGAGGAGCUUGCGUACCAUUAGCUAGUUGGUAGGGUAAUGGCCUACCAAGGCGACGAUGGUUAGCGGGUCUGAGAGGAUGAUCCGCCACACUGGAACUGGAACACGGACCAG